GACGAACGCUGGCGGCGUGCUUAACACAUGCAAGUCGAACGGAAAGGCCCUGCUUUUGUGGGGUGCUCGAGUGGCGAACGGGUGAGUAACACGUGAGUAACCUGCCCUUGACUUUGGGAUAACUUCAGGAAACUGGGGCUAAUACCGUAUAGGAGCUCCUGCUGCAUGGUGGGGGUUGGAAAGUUUCGGCGGUUGGGGAUGGACUCGCGGCUUAUCAGCUUGUUGGUGGGGUAGUGGCUUACCAAGGCUUUGACGGGUAGCCGGCCUGGGAGGGUGACCGGCCACAUUGGGACUGAGAUACGGCCCAGACUCCUACGGGAGGCAGCAGUGGGGAAUAUUGCACAAUGGGAGGAAGCCUGAUGCAGCAACGCCGCGUGCGGGAUGACGGCCUUCGGGUUGUAAACCGCUUUCGCCUGUGACGAAGCGUGAGUGACGGUAAUGGGUAAAGAAGCACCGGCUAACUACGUG
rnacentral:rRNA from 1 species